UACGAACUGUGCGAACGUUAUUCGGAAUCACUGGGCUUAAAGGGUGCGUAGGCGGCUGCCUAAGUCAGGUGUGAAAUCUCCCGGCUCAACCGGGAAACUGCGCUUGAUACUGGGCGGCUCGAGUGAGGUAGGGUGUGUGGAACUUCCGGUGGAGCGGUGAAAUGUGUAGAUAUCGGAAGGAACGCCAGCAGCGAAAGCGGCACACUGGCCUUUCUGACGCUGAGGCACGAAAGCCAGGGAGCGAA
rnacentral:rRNA from 1 species